GAUGAACGCUGGCGGCGUGCUUAACACAUGCAAGUCGAACGAAGAUGCCGGAGUGCUUGCACUUUGGCAGACUGAGUGGCGGACGGGUGAGUAACGCGUGGGUAACCUGCCUUAUACAGGGGGAUAACAGUUGGAAACGACUGCUAAUACCGCAUAAGCCCACGGUACCGCAUGGCACUGAGGGAAAAGGAUUUAUCGGGAAAGGAUGAGCCCGCGUUGGAUUAGCUAGUUGGUGGGGUAAAGGCCUACCAAGGCGACGAUCCAUAGCUGGUCUGAGAGGAUGAUCAGCCACAUUGGGACUGAGGCACGGCCCAAACUCCUACGGGAGGCAGCAGUGGGGAAUAUUGGGACAAUGGGCGCAAGCCUGAUCCAGCCAUGCCGCGUGAGUGAUGAAGGCCCUAGGGUUGUAAAGCUCUUUCACCGGUGAAGAUAAUGACGGUAACCGGAGAAGAAGCCCCGGCUAACUUCGUG
rnacentral:rRNA from 1 species